ensembl:rRNA 5S_rRNA 5S ribosomal RNA
GCUUACGGCCAUACCAUCCUGGCUAUACCCGAUCUCGUCUGAUCUCGGAAGCUAACCAGGUUUGGGCCUGGUUAGUACUUGGAUGGGAAGACCGCCUGGGAAUAUCAGGUGCUGUAAGCU